AGAACUGUCCUAAAUCUCCUUGCUUCCUUGCACCAAGAGAGGUCUUGGGCCUCUGAACCCCAUUUCCCCCAGUCUCCCCUGCCUCCCCUUGCUGCUUGUCCCAGCAUCUUGGUGGAAAGAAUGCUGGUCCCUGUGCUCCUCGCUGAGCAGCUGGAAGCCUGCCAAAAACACAGAAGCAAAUGGCCUUUUAUAAAUUAUUUUUGAAAUAAACCUCUGUGUUCCUGGUGUCUUCCCUGCAGCGGAUGGAGGGGAAACAGGGUGGAGGGAUUCCCCAAGCUGGGAGUUUUGUCUGAUACAAAUGGAGGGCUCUGUGCCAGGCCUUGGGUUCACAUCCACCUACAGCUACGUUAGGGCGCCCCCAGGAACCUGUGUGCUCCUCUGUGUUGGUCUGUCUUACCCGCAGUAUCUCAUGUAUGCGAUGGUCUGAAUGAGCAUACACACGGCACUCUCCACCGGGUGAAACUCUUGUACCCUCUGCACAUGCGUGUGCAUGUGCCUGCCCAUAGACUGUCCCUAAGGGAGCUGGCAGCACCCCUCCCCCAUCUGCUCAGCAUUAACCAAGCUGACUGUUAACACAGCGUGAAAGCCUGAAACCUAGCUUCGAGGCUGCUGCCUGCUCCCACACUCUGCUGCUCAGACUGGGGGCUAGUGGGGGCUGUGCCCGCCCCACCCCACCCCACCCCACCCUGGCCAGUCUCCCAGGCAGCAGCUGGUUGCCGCCCGGCUAGGCUGCAGCUGUCCCUGCCUGCCUGGUCCUCCCCUGGAGAGGCCGUCAUGGCCCUGUUCUCAAACACCCUCUGGGGGGAGCAGGGAGAUCAGCUUCCCAGGGCUCUGAGCCUGGAACCUUCGCUGGGGCCAUCUAAGCAGUUACUGCUACUCUCCAGCCCCUGAACCAUAGGGUGGGGGUACCUGACCCGGUGCCUGGGGGUCCCUCCUGCCCUGUCCUCUCGUAGGACAGGACAGACCCAUUGUGAGGGCCACCUGGAUUACCCCAUAGCCUUCCAGGGGGUGGCAGCUGAAAAUAUAGAUAGAGUCAGAAGGGCCUGGAUCUAAGAAUCUGAGGCUGGGCUGUCCUGGCAGACUUGAGCAGCGGCUCAUGGCCAUGCUUCUCUUCUUGCUGUGGGUAGGUUUCUUCGCACCUCCACCUGUGCACUCUCCUUCUGACUGAGCCCCCCCACCAAACCUACUCUCCCACUGGAAGUCACUGUGCCCAGCCCAGUCAAUCAUGGACAGGCAGGUCCCUAAGAAUCCAGCAGGGGAAGAAAGGGUUGGGAGACCAGAGCAGUGGAUAAAGACAGGGAUGACAAAUGAGAACUCCAUUUUUCCACUUCCCCACUGUGAACCCCACUGCUGAGCUACCCUCAGCCACCCACCACUACCCCUCACACAGCCUCACCAGACAACCAUCUUCCCAACUUAAGGAUGGUGAAAUGGAAUGUGACAGGCCCAAGGUCACAAGGAUGGGGAACUGAGGAAGGAGCUGAAUUGACCCCUCCAUUCCCCCAAGUCCAGGCUCCCGGCAGGUCCUGUGCACAUGGGAGACCAGAGUCAGGUCACUCAGAGUGACAGGGGCAGAUGGUGCUUGGUAGGUCUCGGGGGCCAGGAGGGCUCAGCUACCCACCCUGUGCCCCCUCCCAGCCAGCAUCCCUGGCAGGCGCACACUUGCCACAUUCCUGACAUCCCAAGUCAGAAUGAGACAGAUGCUGCUAAUUCCCCCUUGCGAGCUUUCCUGCUCCAUCUCCCCUCCCCCAGGCCUCUCGGAUGGCAUGGCAGCAUCUGGAGCCUGGUCCCCUCAGUCUGCCAGAGUUCUGAGCAGCCUCCUAGCCAGUGAUACCGGCCUUGGGAGCUUGCAGAAAAAGCACUGGGUCACCUCUGGACUCGGCUACUUGCUGGCUAUGUGUAUUAGUCAGGGCUCUGGUGGGAGCAGCAGAUAGAUAGCGGCCCUGAUCUCAAAAGUCCAAGCCAGAGAACAGGAGGUGCUGGGAGGGAAGGUCAGGUUGUCCACUGUGUGAGUGCUGGGGCUGGGGGAUGGGGGAAGUACUAUGACCAAAGCUACUCUCUCAGAGCCUGAAACACAGGAAUGAUGACAUGUCUGAGAAUGGUUGGAAGUGUUCAGUCAACAAUGGUUGUUGUUGCUCAAGGAUUAGGAGGGAAUGGCCCCCCGGGCCGGGUUGCCAUGAUCUCAUUCCCUCCUCAUGGCAGCCCUUCCUGGAAAGCAUUUUUGUUCCUGUUGCCCAGAUGAGGACACCAAGACUCAGAAGAAAGAAAGCUCAUUCCCACAGCCCUGAAUGCCUGGUGUUCGGAGAACCAGGAAAGCCUCUGGGUUUGCAUGAAGCAGGAGACAUCGGCUACUAGAAUGUCCAUGUACCUGGGUAGAUGACAUUCACGACGCCCCAGCACAGAACUCCAGCCCUAUGGCCUUCACCCAUGCUACCUCACAUGGGCUGCUCCCCCAGGGGAACACACUUCUUGGGACACACACUACCUCACUGUCCCCUGGCCAGACCCUGUUCAUCCUGCAGUUCUCACUCAAACCACAUUUCUCCAAGAAGCCUCCUCUUCCUGCUGAGCCCCCCUCUUCAGAGGCUAAAGAGGAAAUGCUCUCAAUAGUCUCCUUCCCCAAAACUGAACAGCAGGAAGUAAGCACUGCUUUCAUAGGCAAGGAGAGAGAGAGAGAAUCUCAGGUGGCCUCCACCUUCAGUGUGAGCCCCAUGACCCAGAGGUCACAGCCUGAGCUGAAACCAAGUGUUGGAUGAUCAGCUGACUGAGCCACGCAGGAGCCCCUGUUUUAUUUAUUUUUUUUAAGUAGCCUCUCACACCCAAUGUAGAGCCCAACGCAGGGCUUGAACUCACAAUCCUGGAUCAAGAUCUGAGCUGAGGGGCACCUGGGUGGCUCAGUCAUUAAACAUCUCCCUUUAGCUUAGGUCAUGAUCCCAGGGUCCUGGGAUCGAGCCCCGCAUCGGGCUCCCUGCUCGGCAGGAGCCUGCUGUCCCUCUCCUGGUCCCCCUGCUUGUGUUCCCUCUCUCGCUGUGUCUCUCCCUGGUAAACAAACAAAUAAAAUCUUAAACAAGAAAAGAAAAAA